rnacentral:rRNA from 1 species
AGCGAACGCUGGCGGCGUGCUUAACACAUGCAAGUCGAGGGAGAACGGAGGGCUUCGGCCUUCUUAGUAAACCGGCGCACGGGUGAGUAACACGUAGGUAACCUACCUCCGAGUUCGGGAUAACCUGUCGAAAGAUAGGCUAAUACCGGAUAAGACCACGAUGGCUUCGGCCACUGCGGUCAAAGAUGGCCUCUAUUUAUAAGCUAUCGCUUGGGGAUGGGCCUGCGCACCAUUAGCUAGUUGGUGAGGUAAUGGCUCACCAAGGCUACGAUGGUUAGUUGGUCUGAGAGGAUGACCAGCCACACUGGGACUGAGACACGGCCCAGACUCCUACGGGAGGCAGCAGUGGGGAAUAUUGCGCAAUGGGGGAAACCCUGACGCAGCGACGCCGCGUGGGU